UUAGAGUGGCGUCACUUUGAUAUUAAAGAUUUAUCACUUGAAGAUGGCUGUGCGGCUGAUUAGGUAGUUGGCGGGGUAACGGCCCACCAAGCCUUCGAUCAGUAACUGGUGUGAGAGCACGACCAGUCACACGGGCACUGAGACACGGGCCCGACUCCUACGGGAGGCAGCAGUAAGGAAUAUUGGUCAAUGGACGAAAGUCUGAACCAGCCAUGCCGCGUGGAGGAUGAAGGUCCUCUGGAUUGUAAACUUCUUUUAUAUGGGACGAAAAAAGGGUUUUCUAACUCGUCUGACGGUACCAUAUGAAUAAGCACCGGCUAACUCCGUG
rnacentral:rRNA from 1 species